UUUUUUUUUUGCAGGUCUAAUGACUGACUUAUUUAAAAUGAGUACCGAAAACAUAAACACACCAGUAAAUGAAAAUAUGAGUGAUUUAGAAGAAGCUAUUUUUUAUGGAAGUAGUAGUAUAAAAUGUCGUAAGGUUAUAUUUGUUAAAAAGUUAAUGCAUUUUUUGAACAAUAUUACGUAUAAUGAUUUUAAAAAAUAUAUAUACCCAUUGUUAGUAAAGUUAAGUAAUGAUAGUUUAGAAAUCAAAUAUGAAAUAUGUAAUACAAUUGGUGAUUUGUGUGCAUAUUUAUUACAAAAUAAUAAUUAUAAUUAUGGUUCAUCUGAAGUUAUAAAUUUACUUUUUCCAAUAAUAAAAGAUUUUAUUCAGAAUUAUAAUAAUAAUAAAAUUAUAAUUAAUCGUAUUAUGGAAGCUUUUUUAAUUUUAUCAACACAUAUAACUACAAGAUAUAGAAAGAGUGUUAUUUUUCCUUUUAUACAUACACUUUUGAUUAGUGAUGAACAUAGAAAUAUAGGUCUUAUUUUAUUAAUAAAAAUGUGUUCAAUAUUUCAGAAUAAUAAUAUAAUAUAUAAUACUAUGUUACCUUAUGUAGAAUUUAUUAGUAAAAAUGUAUAUAGUACAGUUAUUGCUACAAUUAUUGAUAAAACUCUUUUUAAAAUAGUUGCUGGUAUUGAUACAGAUAAUAAUAAAAAUCAAACUAAUAUAAAUUAUAUCUGUGAGAAAAGUAAUGAUAUAUUUACAAAUUUAUUAAACUUAAAUAAUAGUUUUAUUAAUAAUAAUAAUAGUAAUAAUAAUAUUAGUAUGAAUAAUAAUAGUAAUAAUAAUAUUAGUAAUAAUAAUAGUAAUAAUAAUAUUAGUAAUAAUAAUAAUAAUAGUAAUAAUAAUAUUAGUAAUAAUAAUAAUANNNNNNNNNNUAAUAAUAAUAAUAAUAGUAAUAAUAAUAUUAGUAAUAAUAAUAAUAUUAGUAAUAAUAAUAAUAAUAGUAAUAAUAAUAAUAGUAAUAAUAAUAUUAGUAAUAAUAAUAAUAGUAAUAAUAAUAUUAGUAGUAAAUUUUAUAUUUCUGCUAAUCUUUACACAAUUUGUAGACUUACUGAUGAAGAACAUUUUCUACGUCUUUUUUUUAUUUUAACAAAUUUAUGUUAUGAUGAAAAUGACACUGUAAAAAUUAUAAAUAUAUUUAAUUGUGUUCAGAUUAGUUGUCGUUAUUCAAAAAUAAUAUUAUAUUAUUUUUUUUUACCACUAUUUAAUAAUUUUUUAAAAAAUGAAAAUGUAUAUAUUUUUUAUUAUGCUUUGAUCAAUUUAUUUUCUUUUAUAUAUAUGUUAGAAGAUAUAGAUAUAAUACAUCCAUAUUAUAUACGGAAAAUAAUCUUUUUUUUUAAUAACAUGUUUUCUUGUCAUUCCUUUACAUUAAAUUAUUUAUAUGAUUUAGCUAAAAGAAAAAAUAAUUAUUUUUUAUUGGGUACGUCACAAGCGCAAACAGAUACUUCUCUUGGUACUUCUGUGGCUACAUCUGUGGCUACAUCUGUUGGUACAUCUGUUGGUACAUCUGUUGGUACAUCUGUUGGUACAUCUGUUGGUACAUCUGUUGGUACAUCUGUGGCUACAUCUGUUGGUACAUCUGUUGGUACAUCUGUGGCUACAUCUGUUGGUACUACUGUUGGUACUACUGUUGGUACUACUGCAGAAAUUAGUCAUAUGAGUGAAAAAAAAAUAAAUGUAACGUGUAUAGUUGAUGAAUUAGAUGAUGCAGUAACUGCAUGUAAUUUGUACGUACCUACCGAUGUUGAAGUAAUUAAUAACGUACACUCAUCUAUUGAAGAAUCGAAAAUAUGUAUAACAUUAAAUUCGAAUAUAUCAGAUGUAGAAAAAACAGAAAAAAAUUCAUUAAAUAUAAAUAUGAAUAAAAAUUAUUCAAAUAAAUAUGAUGAAAUAGUAGAUAUAUUUACAUGUGAUUAUAAAAAAAAUAUAUUUUCUGAUAAUACCCAAACGAAUCAUAUCAGUUCUGACAAAAUAGAAUCAUGCUUGUCUGAAGAUAAUAAACAUGAAUGUAACAUUACCGAUUUUCUGAGUGUUGAAGAAAAUAAUUAUACAAACAUAAAAAAUGUAGAAAAGGAAAGAGGAAAUGAAAGAGGAAACUGCAGUUAUAAUACAAACCAUGGUUAUAAUACAAACCAUGGUUAUAAUACAAACCAUGGUUAUAAUACAAACCAUAGUUAUAAUACAAACCAUGGUUAUAAUACAAACCAUAGUUAUAAUACAAACCAUGGUUAUAAUACAAACCAUGGUUAUAAUACAAACCAUGGUUAUAAUACAAACCAUGGUUAUAAUACAAACCAUAGUUAUAAUACAAACCAUGGUUAUAAUACAAACCAUAGUUAUAACAACAAAAAUGGAAAAGACAAAAGUGAACUACCAAUAUAUACAAACGUGCUUGGUGAUAAUAAAUCCUCAAGUAUAACAAAAAAGUUAAUUUACUCAAAACAUAUUUCUUUAUCGUUAGAUCGAAAAAGAUUAUCCGUAAUAAACUCAAAUAUACCAUCCUGUAUUUUUUUUAAUAAUAGUUAUAUCAAUAAUCUCAUAAUUAGUAAUAAUCAUUUUUGUUUAAGUGUUAAGCAACUUUUUCAAACACAUGGUUCAGAUUGUUUUGUUUGCGAUACUCUUGAUGGUAGUAUAAAGAUGUUAGCUGACAAAUAUGGUGAAAAAAAUGGAAAAAGCUAUGAACAAAAAUGUGAACAAACGAGCGAUUAUACGCAGGGUGAAUAUCCAUGCGGAAAAGACAAGAACCAAAAAGAACAACCCACAAAUAAACAAAUGAGUAAUAAUAGUAGUAAUAAUUUUUUUUAUACAAACACAAUGAAUAAAGAACAAAGUAAAGAUGAAGGAAAAAAUACAACAUAUAUAAAUAAUAAUUCAACAAAAGAUAUAAGUGAUUGUACACCGGAUUUAACUUUACAUGAAUUAUUUGAAAUAGAUAAUAUUUUCAACGAUAGUAAUAAUUUAUUUAUACGUUUAAUAAAAGAAUGUUGUUAUGGUGGUAUGAAUUUAAUUAAUAAUAAUAUUAUAUAUAAUAAAAUAUUUGGUAAUAAAAAAAAAAAAAAAAAAAAAAUGAAAAUAAAGUUUAUAAAAAAAUACAAAGUAAGAAGAAAGAUGAAGAUAAUGAAAAAUAUACAAAUUUGAAUUUUUAUUAUAAAAUGAAUGAAGAUAUAGAUAAUGAAAGUAUGUAUAAUGUUGAAUAUAUAGAUAUAGAUUUAUUAAAAAAGAGAUAUGUUUUUGAUUCUUUAAAUAAUAUAAUAGUAUUACAUAAUGUAAAUGCAAUAUAUAUAUUUACAUUACAUAUACCACUAUUAGUUUUAGUACUGAAAGAAUAUUUUUUUGCUUUAUUUUCUCAUGUUUUUUUUUUUAUAUGUACACAUCCAUAUUACAUAAUAAGAAAAACAAUAGCCUCUUUAUUUUAUGACAUAUUAUGUAAUUUGUUUGAAGCGAAUGUAGUAGGUGUAAAUGCAGAUAAAUUACAAAAAGAAGAAAAAAGGGUUAAAAUUUUAUUAAAAAAUAAAAAAAAUAAUUAUGUUACUAAAUUGUUAAAU
ensembl:lncRNA